UUAGAAGCUAUGGCUUGAAGAAACAAAUCAGUGCCUCUCAAACUUCUAGUGUGCUGUGAAUGUAGCUUAGUCUUUACUUAUUCCAAGCAAAAUACAUACACAGCACUAGAGCCCCUUCAAAACCACGAGGCUGAUGUUCAUGACUCUGUUAAUGAUCAAACUGCAGCAUCGUGCAGCUGGUCCUGCCGGUCACGGGGAGGCUCGGGAAGAAACGAAGCCAUGGGGACACCACGGAUGCCGUGCCCUGCUGCUCGCGGGGCCCUAGUGCAGACUGUGCCUCUACUCAGACAGCCCCCAGCAGAUUCUGUUCUGAGAAAUGGAGCGAGACUGCCAGGCUUUUGUGUGAAUUACGGAGGGAAGAUUCAUGGCAUGGGAAUCAUCUGGAAUCCUCACGACCUGAUCUGUUUAAUCCCGUGGAUCCUUGGAGCCGCAUCGCCUGCUGCAUGGGUCCAACCCCCUCUUGUGAAGCAGCUCCUUUUGGAAGAUGAAGGAACUUGCAAACCAGCAGCUUGCUAAGUGAAUUAAAAGGAGAAGAAGCAGAAGAAUGUCCAAGGAGGACCCGAGCACCUUCCAGGUGGAUUAGCAGACCCCAAAAUCCAAGACCUCUUGGUUUUCAGCUGAGACAAGAGAGACCCCAGUGAUCAUCACAGGAUGUGCCAUGCACUGUGGAAAGUGCUGGGUCCCCCAGGAAGAAGCGGGAACAGUCACCAUCCCUGCCUGCUCAGAGUGGACAGCUCUGCUAGGGAGACACACACAAAUAUCCCUCUUGAUAUGACAGAGCAGGUAUUCACAUGACAACUGACAUGUGUGGGCUGCUUACUGUAUGCAGGAUGUUAAAAGCAUUAAGUAAUUUAAGGUCACCAAAACCUUGUGAGGUGAUGUUAUGAUUAUCAUCUCCAUUUUGCAGAUGAGGAAACUGAGGCACAGGGCAGUGAAGUAAUUUGUCCAAGGGUGUCUCUAGUAAGCAGGGAGCUGGGGUUCACAUCCCGCCCUCUAGCACCAUGCCCUCGCUAUUAGUUUCUGCUUCUUGAUCACCUGGAGAAAUUGGAGAACUCUGAAAGCUUAAGUGGUGCCUUUGCUGGUUUUAAAUUCCAGCUUGGCGCAUUUUCCCCCAGCCUCACUUCUUCUUGAACCUUGGCCUUCCUUCUCCUGAGACUCACCUCAUCGUGGCUGAAAGGCAGGGACUAGAGUCAGCCGGGUGCAGGCUGGGAUGGCAGAGCCUCAGGCUCCGUCCUAGAAGCGUUCACUCAGCACACUGGGGCUCCAUGCCGGGCACUGGGAACACACCCAAUCUCCUGGAUCUUGUUGUCUAGUUAGGGCAUCAGACAAUAAACAAAUCAACACCUAGAAACCCAAGGGAGCACUCUCCAGAGCAUUAAAAUGGGCUCAUGUGAUCAAGAGUGAUGGGCGUCUAUUUUAAGUGAGAUGACGGUUAAGGCUUCUUAGAGAAGUGACAUUGAAGCUGAGAUCUGAAUAUCAAAAUGGAGCCAGGCACCUGAUGAUCAGGAGGAGGGGCAUUCCAGGGAGAGGAGCCUGCGUGUGCCAGGCCCCAUGGAAGGGGGCGGGACAGGUGUGUGUGGCCAGAGGCUGUGUAGUUGGAGCAUGGCAGGCGGGAGUGUGGUAGGAGAGGAGGAGGGAGAGGAGGCUGAGAUGAUCGUGCAGGGCCUCAGAGGUCACAGCGUGGGGUUAGAAUUUCCUUUUAAGUGCUUUAGGAAGCUAUGCAAGCUGUAAGCAGAGGAGGACCAUGAUCCGAUGGGGUAUAUUUGACUGACGCUGGCCCCUUGGCUAUGGUGCUGGUCCUUCCAGCAUCUGUAAGCCUCAAAGGUAGGAUAGUGUGGCCUGAUGGCUGGAGCCAUGGUCACAGAGGGAGAAGAGCGAUUCCAUUCAUUCACUUGUUCUUCAUCCAGCAAACGUGCUUUUGGGCCCUGACCAUGCGCCAGGCACUUUGCUCAGCACCGAGGAUACAGAGAGGUCUGGGAUGUGUCCCCACCUGGAGCAGUUCCCAUGCUGUGGGGAGACAAGGAAACUGUCGGCCCAGCACCAGCCAGCAGAGAGUGGACGUUGGCUUCCCCAAUGGGCACAGGGCACAGGCAGAUGCAAGACCUCUGGUCUUUUACCAGAUGCACUUGAGACGCACUAGGAACUGAGUAAUUUUCUGACUGUUAAAAAAUCAAUUAAAAUAACUCAAAUACUUACAAUCCAAUCUAAUAAAUAUUAAUGGAACCACUAAGCUUCUCUGGUCAGGGGACUCAUAGGGAAAGUAGUCCUGGCAAAUGAGUAGGAGCUCGUCCAGAGGAGAAAAGGAUUAGAGGAAGGAAUCUUGGAGGAGGAAACAGGUUGCUUGCCUGGGUCCGGACCCUCUUGCUGGAAGCACAGGGGGAAGGGAGAGAGAUGUGUUCAAACCUGGAAAAACUGUUCGUCAUCCCUCCGUACAAAUGUUACAGCCUCCCAUUUCAGCCAAGACCCUGUUAUGUGCAGGGGCAUUAGCAUUGCUCAGAAUUAGCCAAGUCCCCAGAAGCUGGAAACUAACACCUUCCUGACAACUGGGCCUGGGAAAGAAAAAACCAAAACCAAAACCAAAACCACCUUACUUCUCUUAAAUACCAACACAUCUUAUACUGCCCUCUGGUGGCUAAAUGUGAAAUGACAGGCCCCCAGGUCCAGAACACAGCGUUCUCUAUUCUGUUUACUUAGUAAUACACACAUUUAUUGUGUUUCACUUCGUGUGCCUACCAUCCGCGGACCUGGCAGAUGUCAUCUCUUCCACUAUGUUCUCCUAUAUUUCCAUCCACAAAUAACGUCUGCCUCCUCAGUUAUUGUUACUCAUCUUCCCAUCUUUCAAGUAUCUACUGACAAACUGCUACAUGUUAGACUUUUCAACACCUGCCUUGCAUUCGAGG